GUCAGUGUGUCGGUGUGGAUUAGCUGUUUGUGUAUUUUUAGGGUGUUUCUGUAGUUGGUAAGUUCAGUGUGUCGGUGUGGAGUAGCUGUUUGUGUAUUUUUAGGGUGUUAAUGUAGUUGGUAAGGUCAGUGUGUCGGUGUGGAGUAGCUGUUUGUGUAUUUUUAGGGUGUUUCUGUAGUUGGUAAGGUCAGUGUGUUGGUGUGGAGUAGCUGUUUGUGUAUUUUUAGGGUGUUUCUGUAGUUGGUAAGGUCAGUGUGUCGGUGUGGAGUAGCUGUUUGUGUAUUUUUAGGGUGUUUCUGUAGUUGGUAAGGUCAGUGUGUCGGUGUGGAGUAGCUGUUUGUGUAUUUUUAGGGUGUUUCUGUAGUUGGUAAGGUCAGUGUGUCGGUGUGGAGUAGCUGUUUGUGUAUUUUUAGGGUGUUUCUAUAGUUGGUAAGGUCAGUGUGUCGGUGUGGAGUAGCUGUUUGUGUAUUUUUAGGGUGUUUCUGUAGUUGGUAAGGUCAGUGUGUCGGUGUGGAGUAGCUGUUUGUGUAUUUUUAGGGUGUUUCUGUAGUUGUUAAGGUCAGUGUGUCGGUGUGGAGUAGCUGUUUGUGUAUUUUUAGGGUGUUUCUGUAGUUGGUAAGGUCAGUGUGUCGGUGUGGAGUAGCUGUUUGUGUAUUUUUAGGGUGUUUCUGUAGUUGGUAAGUUCAGUGUGUCGGUGUGGAGUAGCUAUUUGUGUAUUUUUAGGGUGUUUCUGUAGUUGGUAAGGUCAGUGUGUUGGUGUGGAGUAGCUG